ACAAAAGUCCGGCCCGCUGGCGAGCAGCGCCGGGCCGCAAGUCUCCGCUCACUCGGGGCUCCCGCAACAAGUGGCCGCCGCGCCCUCCCCCGGGAAGCCGCGGGCGAGCAGGCGCGCCCGAAGGAGGCUGCGGAGCCGGGGAGUCAGGGCGCCCGCGCGGCUCAGCGCUCCUCGCAGGGGAUCGGGGCGGGCGCAUGGGGACCCCGCGGCGGCGGCGCGGCGAGCCUCGGGGCGGCCCCGGGGCGCGGGCUCUCGGCGACUCUGCUCCCGCCGGCCCCGAGCGCGGAUUCUAAGAGGGGAGGAGGCUGUCGCUGGCCGGGUCCGCCACAAUCAGGGUGCCAGGAGGGGACCGAGCGCCCCCUCCCUCCGGAGACCAGGAGCCGCCCCCCGCCGGAGAUCGGCCCCGGAGCGAGGGGCUAUGUGCAGCUAACGGUCCCGUCGGACAGGCUUUCCUCUGGCCCAAGGCGCAGGAGGUGCGCCCAGCUAUGCAGUGUCCGGGGAGACGGCGGGCAUGACGGCGACAGGAUGGGCGCGAACAAUGGCAAACAGUACGGCAGUGAGGGUGAGUGGGCCGCCUGUCUUCAGACUCCC
rnacentral:lncRNA from 1 species